rnacentral:lncRNA from 1 species
GAAACCCAGCCCCUCUGCUUGGGAGGCACGCAGGGCUCUGGCUGAAGCCUGAAGCUUGGGAUCCUCAGAGCACAGAUGUCCCAGGGUUGUGUGAAGUUAGUGAGACGAGGUGUACGGAGAGAGCUCGGAGAGGAGAGGGAGUCUCGAUUGCUGUGGCUGUGGCUCGGAGAUGCCUGCAAGAGGUGACGGUGAUGUGCGUGGUGGUGUCCUACGGGCCUGAUGGAAAGGUGGCAGGCGAAAUGCACCUGGCCUCAGCGUCAGGGGCUGUGAAUGCAGUAGCACUUGUAGCUAUGAGGUCAGAGUGGACUAGGAUGGUCCUUCCACCAAGAAGCCUGGGCCUUCCUGCUCUUCGUUGUCCAGCUGCAGAAACUGAUCUCAUCCCUCAGGGCUUGGCACAACUGCCCCUUCCUCCUCACAUUCCCAAAUAUACCUACCCCUCCCCAACUCAAUCCUCCUCACCAGACUGUGGCUCCAGGAUGACAGGGCAGAGUUGGACUCACCUGUGUCUGCCAGGCCAGCUCACCGUGGGGGCAGGUCCCAAGAGGCCUCUGGAUUUGGACCAACUUCCAGUGUGACCUUGAACAAGGCCUUCGCCUCCCUCAGCCUCCGUUGCAUGAGGGGUUGUGCUGGCACAUCUCAGAGCAGGUAGCGCUACCUGGUGAGUUGAGGGCUCUGUCCAUCAUCUUUGUCACUGUAAUGCUGGGUAACAAAUAAACACGAAACAAUGA